UGAACCUGAUUGGAGUCAGAAGACUGAAAAUAAAGUUAUAAAGAAGAAAUCCAGCUGAUUCCUGUUUAAACAACACAUACUUUUCCAACACUUGGGUAAAGCAUCUCGGCCGUAUAGCUUAUCAGUUCACCAGAGUCUUGCUAAUCCUGUGAAUGUUUAUUUACCUGUUUCCAGAAUAUUACCCUCCUGUGUUCCCCAAGAACCAACUUGGUACGUGCCUGAGGAUUUUCCUGUUGAGAGCCGCUCCCUCAAUCCAAUCUGUGCGCUGCCUGUCUGCCUUCACCCAGCCUGAAAACAAAGUCACCUGUAAGAUACUCACCUGUGUAUACUCACCUGGAACCGUGGAUCCUCUCCUCUGCAGUGAGUCCUCCGCACUAACCUGUCCUGACCCGUCCUGCACCAGUUGUAAAGAAAACCUUUUACCUGAGUUUCCUGUCUCUGUCUGUUACUGGUUCUGCUCACGUUGACUCCUUUGCUGAGAACCUGACAGUGGAGGAACAGCUCCAAAGUCCUCCAUCGUUGUCUCUGCUUCCCUCUG